UUGCAAUGAGUGGCGAACGGGUGAGUUAACACGUAGGGAAACCUACCUCUUAGCAGGGGAUAACAUUUGGAAACAAAUGCUAAUACCGUAUAAUAAUUAAAACCGCAUUGGUUUAGUUUAAAAGAUGGUCUUGCUAUCACUAAGAGAUGGUCCCGCGGUGUAUUAGUUAGUUGGUGAGGUAAUGGCUCACCAAGACAAUGAUACAUAGCCGAGUUGAGAGACUGACCGGCCACAAUGGGACUGAGACACGGCCCAUACUCCUACGGGAGGCAGCAGUAGGGAAUCUUCCACAAUGGACGAAAGUCUGAUGGAGCAACGCCGCGUGUGUGAUGAAGGGUUUCGGCUCGUAAAACACUGUUGUAAGAGAAGAAUGACAUUGAGAGUAACUGUUCAAUGUGUGACGGUAUCUUACCAGAAAGGAACGGCUAAAUACGUG
rnacentral:rRNA from 1 species